rnacentral:lncRNA from 1 species
UUUAGACUAAUCUAUAUUUUGUGUCAUAUUUUCUUAUAAUAUUCUUUAAUAUUUUUGAAAAUAAAUUUAAUAAAUAGUUUUACAAACAAAAAAAAUUUGGAAAAAUAGUAACUUUGAUAAAAUACUUAUAUCAACUUAGUGAUAUUUUUUUCAGUUAUAAAAAAGUUAAAAUUAUAAAUUUCAUAUUAUGUUCUAAAUAAAGUAGAAAUGACAUUCUACGAAGUAGAAAACGAAAUCUACUUUUUUCAUUGAAUCUACAAUGUUUAGAAUACGUGAUCUACGUAAAUAGGAGUAUUCUAAAAAUAUUUAGAAUACACAUUCCGCGCUUAACCUAUCGUUCUAAAAUCUUUAGAAAUCAAAAUCUACACAUUAAUAUAAAUCUAAAACACGUAGAAACCGACUUCUACAACAUGUAGAAAUCAAAAUCUAAACAUUACUAUAAUUCUAAAAGACUGUAGAAACCGAUUUCUACAUAUUAGUUGUAUUCUACGGAUAAGAAAUCAGUUCCUAAAAAUAUGAAAACAAAAUAUUUGGGAAUAUUCACUUUUAUAUUUUGAAAAAAAAAAUCGAUUUAAAAAAAAAAUAAAAAAACGAAAAAAGGAACAAAAAAAUAAAAAAAACGAAAAAGGAAUAAAAAUUUACAAUUUUAAGGGCAUUACAGCCAUUUUGAAAAUAAUUAGUCUAAUAGAACAUAAAGUAGUAUAGAUUAGUAUAAAUGGACAUAGUUACCAUUUUUUUGCUUUAAAAAAAUAAUUUUCCCUUUUAUAUUUUAGUAACGGGUUUGGUCGUUUAAUGAACGAUGACAGAGACCUGCGUGUAUCUCCGACUUUUGUCUUUGUCGGUUUGCUUUUAUUGGACACGUGUCAAUCUUAGUACCACUCGACGUUGUCCCGCAUUUUCUAAACCAAUGGUCCAAUCUCACCUGGACCCAUCCUAUUAAAUGACGCAUCUACCCUAUUACGUAGGCCGUUGAUUGAUUUAGAUCGGAAGGCAGAGAUUCGUCCCGACAAGUGCGCGUGGGGUACUAUUUAUGCAUUGCGUGUUAGGAGAGGGCAGUGGCGCGUGACGUAAGGCCUACGCAGUUUCGAAGAGGACAGAAAACAUAAAGAGUGAUCACUGUGACAUCACAAGACUAAAAACUCAAUAUGUUGGAUUUCGCACGCUCUCUCCACCCGCGCGUCUACAUCACGACGAUAAGUUACCUGCGUUAAUUAUGGUGAAGAUAAGUUUUACACGAAAGUGUGCCUACCACUAUAAUACGUGUGUAUACCAUAAACAUGCAAAACUAGAACAGCCCAUAACCCGACCAAAGAGCCGG